rnacentral:rRNA from 1 species
GGGGAAUAUUGCACAAUGGGGGAAACCCUGAUGCAGCGACGCCGCGUGGAGGAAGAAGGUCUUCGGAUUGUAAACUCCUGUUGUUGAGGAAGAUAAUGACGGUACUCAACAAGGAAGUGACGGCUAACUACGUGCCAGCAGCCGCGGUAAAACGUAGGUCACAAGCGUUGUCCGGAAUUACUGGGUGUAAAGGGAGCGCAGGCGGGAGAACAAGUUGGAAGUGAAAUCCAUGGGCUCAACUCAUAAAUUGCUUUCAAAACUGCUGGCCUUGAGUAGUGCAGAGGUAGGUGGAAUUCCCGGUGUAGCGGUGGAAUGCGUAGAUAUCGGGAGGAACACCAGUGGCGAAGGCGACCUACUGGGCACCAACUGACGCUGAGGCUCGAAAGCAUGGGUAGCAAACAGGAUUAGAUACCCUGGUAGUCCAUGCCGUAAACGAUGAUUACUAGGUGUUGGAGGAUUGACCCCUUCAGUGCCGCAGUUAACACAAUAAGUAAUCCGCCUGGGGAGUACGACCGCAAGGUUGAAACUCAAAGGAAUUGACGGGGGCCCGCACAAGCAGUGGAGUAUGUGGUUUAAUUCGAAGCAACGCGAAGAACCUUACCAGGUCUUGACAUCCGAUGCAUAGUGCAGAGAUGCAUGAAGUCCUUCGGGACAUCGAGACAGGUGGUGCAUGGUUGUCGUCAGCUCGUGUCGUGAGAUGUUGGGUUAAGUCCCGCAACGAGCGCAACCCUUAUUGCCAGUUACUACGCAAGAGGACUCUGGCGAGACUGCCGUUGACAAAACGGAGGAAGGUGGGGAUGACGUCAAAUCAUCAUGCCCUUUAUGACCUGGGCUACACACGUACUACAAUGGCGUUUAACAAAGAGAAGCAAGACCGCGAGGUGGAGCAAAACUCAAAAACAACGUCUCAGUUCAGAUUGCAGGCUGCAACUCGCCUGCAUGAAGUCGGAAUUGCUAGUAAUCGCGGAUCAGCAUGCCGCGGUGAAUACGUUCCCG